rnacentral:lncRNA from 1 species
CAGGUAGUUGUUCCAUGAGUACAGAAGACUGCACUCGAAGAAAAACUUUACAAGUUGAAAUUUUCCUAGUUUGACUGACCUUCAUGUCUUAAAGUAAGGGACUGUCGUUUCUCUUUGCUUAUUUGAGCUGUUCUUACCAUAAUAUGGACUUGGUCUCUUACCAAAUAGGGCUAUCUCCUGUAUACCACCCCUACCAUGUCACAACACAACUGAUUGGUUCAAACACAUUAAGAAAUUCAAAAUGAACUUUUAACAAGGCACACCUGUUAAUUGAAAUGCAUUCCGGGUGACUACCUCAUGAAGCUGGUUGAGAAAAUUGCAAAGAGUGUGCAAAGCUGUCAUUAAGGCAGACAAAAAGGUCAGAAAACGAAUCAAAGAGACCAAAACCCAUGUCUUCAUCUGACUCCUCAGACUCCUCCUUCUUCUUGAAGAAUCUCAAACAAAUCAAAAUAUAUUUUAUAUUUAACACUUUUUUGGUUACUACAUGAUUCCAUAUGUGUUAUUUCAUAGUUUUGAUGUCUUCACUAUUAAUCUACAAUGUAGAAAAUAGUAAAAAUAAAGAAAAACCCUUGAAUGAGUAGGUGUGUGUCCAAACUCUUGACUGGUAGUGUAUGUAAUAUUCAUAGAGACUCUGACGCAGGCAUAAACAGUAAAACUAGUCCAGUUCCCCACGAUACAUCACAAUAAUACUAUCUUUUUUUUAUUUGCAAUGUUCAAAAAGGACCUCAAAAACAUGGACACACACACACACACAAAAGUCUAAACUAGGAAAUGUACAGUGCAUUGUAGACUUGUCAAUCAAUGAGGUGAACAGAUUGAACAGAAGAUACUUUAUGAAGAUAACAGCUGAAAGAGGGAGACCAGCGGUCUGACUACAGCUCUGAUAGUCACUCACAACCAUGAAGCAAGAUGGCUGUCAGAUCAAAGUGUAAUGCUCACCUAGGCUAUCGUCCCAAAAUGGCACCUUAUUCCAUAUUUAGCAAGAUGGCUGUCAGAUCAAAAUGUAAUGCUAACCUAGGCUAUCGUCCCAAAAUGGCACCUUAUUCCAUAUUUAGUAGCAAACAUUGUUCAAACCUCCACGGUGUGUGUUGCUACUGUCAUCUAUUGUGGCUUAAAUCAGCUCUAACUGAAAGCCUAAAGAAAUAGUAUUCCAUUCAAUAUUUUCCAAGGCAUUAUUCCAUUCAAUAUUUUCCAAGGCAUUAUUCCAUUCAAUAUUUUCCAAGGCAUUAUUCCAUUCAAUAUUUUCCAAGGCAUUAUUCCAUUCAAUAUUUUCCAAGGCAUUAUUCCAUUCAAUAUUUUCCAAGGCAUUAUUCCAUUCAAUAUUUUCCAGGGCAUUAUUCCAUUCAAUAUUUUCCAGGCAUUAUCUGACUCCAUUCAAUAGUCUUAUUGAACUACACAAGUUCAUUUUAUUUACAUACUAUAGUCUAUCUUCUUACUCAUGUCCUCUCUCCCCCCCAGACCUGAUUGGGACUAUCUGGCUUACCAUUGGGUCUGUGUCCCAAAUUGCACCCUAUCCCCUAUUUAGUGCAUUCCUUUCGACCAGGGCUCUGGUCCAAUUUGGGACACAUCCAGGGACUUUCUGAGCUCAACAUGUUAACGCUCCACUCCACUGAUUCAUCUCCUAGAAUAACGAAUAGCAGCUGAUUAUCUGACUUCACAAUACUGCUCUAUGUCCAGACAGCCUGGGGAGGGGAGGGGAGAGAGAGAGAGAGAGAGAGAGAGAGAGAGAGAGAGAGAGAGAGAGAGAGAGAGAGAGAGAGAGAGAGAGAGAGAGAGAGAGAGAGAGAGAGAGAGAGAGAGAGAGAGAGAGAGAGAGAGAGAGAGAGAGAGAGAGAGAGAGAGAGAG